GGAAGUUCGAAGAGCCGGAGCAGGAUCGUAGUGGGCUGGGCCCCACUGGGCUGAGAUGAGAGGUUAGUCUGGAGAAAGAGCGUGGGGUGCUAGAUAGAUAACUAUGUCCGGGACUGGUUCCUGUGUUUUUCUAGGGCAUGUGGACUAGGGAUGGGUACUUGAGCAGGAGCCAGCAACUUGAAUGAAGCGUUUGUGCAGGAGUUACCUGCAUUGUCGGAAAUUACUGUCCUGUGUGCUCAACAAGCUCAUUUAUGGAAGGUCAUCCCUUUAUUGAGACCAGCCCAAAAGACCCUGAGGAACUUAGAAGACUCCUGCUGACUUUGAAGAUCAUAGUCCCAAAGCAGGGCCAUGAAACGGAGCAGCAAAGAAGAAUAUCAUUGUCAAAGCUCAAGUUCCAUCAGAAUGGGAUGUCAGAAAAUAUGAUGCACAUAAAGAAGUCCAGAUCACCCACCAUCCACCCCCUUGGAGACGGCUGCUGUUAACAGUCAUCCACAUCCCAUUCUUUCUAUGCUUACACACUGAAGACAACAGAAAUGAGAGCAUUUUUUUGUAUGCUGCUUUUUAACCAGUUUUCACUUUUAUUUAAAUUCUCCAACAAAUCUUUUAAAAUUUCUUUUUAAAUUCAUCUACUGCUCCAUGCUAUUCCUGUGGGUGAAAAGCUGUAACACUCAGCACAAUAAAUUAAUUCUCUGUGAAACUCAUGUUCUCAUGUUACCAGAAAUAUUUUUUGGUCUGAUCUAUAUUUCUUCUUUGUAUAAUACUUACAAAAUGACCAAACUAAAUAAAAUUAUGUUCCCUAUUGUUUGAAAAUAGUUUGUAACUAGGAAAUAAAUACUGUGGUACAUUAGG